UACGUAGGGUGUGAGCGUUAAUCGGAAUUACUGGGCGUAAAGCGUGCGUAGGUGGUUCGUUAAGUCUGAUGUGAAAGCCCUGGGCUCAACCUGGGAAUGGCAUUGGAUACUGGCGACCUAGAGUGCGGUAGAGGGGUGUGGAAUUCCCGGUGUAGCAGUGAAAUGCGUAGAUAUCGGGAGAACAUCUGUGGCGAAGGCGACACCCUGGACCAGCACUGACACUGAGGCACGAAAGCGUGGGGAGCAAACAGG
rnacentral:rRNA from 1 species